UUUGAUUAGAUUCGCAUUUUACGAGUAUCAAUUGCUGUGAAUUUACUACGGUUUGUAGGAUUUACCGCACAUCUUGUUUAUCGAGAUAGAUGAUCGUAAAUGAAUAAGGCCAAGUGUACGAUAAUGAAGACGACAACUACAACUAUGGAUUUAAAUCUUUCGUUCGGAUACAUUGUAACAGUUCGAGUUUAGUUGUCGUGUUCAGUUAAUUUUUAUGAGUUGGUUGGCUUCGAAGUUGAAUUUUGGCGAAGGUAAUUUUGUUCGAGAAAUCGGUGACUCGAUGUUGAACAAGAUGUAUGAAUAUAUUAAAUUGGUAUUCGUAGCUACAACCGUUGUAAUAAUCAGCGUUUUACUGGUCGUUCAAGCCAGACUGGAGGAUAAUAAACAAGCUGCACCGGUAGAAGGUGAAAAACAAGUGAACGUAAAAUGAAUUCUGCAUUUGCAGAAAGAAUGAACAUGUUGUUGGUAUCUUGCAGUUCAAAAGUUUUUUAAAUGCACCUGCAACCAGCCUCUCGUCAAUGAAAUGAAGACUUCGUCACAAAUAAAUAGUUUUAAGUGUAUGUAAAUUAACCUCAAAAAUAUAUCGUGAACUUUAAAUAAAA